AGUGAACGCUGGCGGUAGGCCUAACACAUGCAAGUCGAACGGCAGCACAGUAAGAGCUUGCUCUUACGGGUGGUGAGUGGCGGACGGGUGAGGAAUACAUCGGAAUCUACUUUUGCGUGGGGGAUAACGUAGGGAAACUUACGCUAAUACCGCAUACGACCUACGGGUGAAAGCAGGGGAUCUUCGGACCUUGCGCGAUUGAAUGAGCCGAUGUCGGAUUAGCUAGUUGGCGGGGUAAAGGCCCACCAAGGCGACGAUCCGUAGCUGGUCUGAGAGGAUGAUCAGCCACACUGGAACUGAGACACGGUCCAGGCUCCUACGGGAGGCAGCAGUGGGGAAUAUUGGACAAUGGGCGCAAGCCUGAUCCAGCCAUACCGCGUGGGUGAAGAAGGCCUUCGGGUUGUAAAGCCCUUUUGUUGGGAAAGAAAAGCAGCAGGUUAAUACCCCGCUGUUCUGACGGUACCCAAAGAAUAAGCACCGGCUAACUUCGUG
rnacentral:rRNA from 1 species